GCCGCCAUCGUCUAAUGGUUAGGACACAUGGUUCUCAACCAUGUAAUACGGGUCCGAUUCCCGUUGGCGGUA
rnacentral:tRNA from 1 species